CACCUUCUGCGGUGCGCGUUAGCAGUUUCGAUCUUCCUUGAGCCUAAUUAUUGUCCUCGGGGGUCGGCUUGCUGAGCUGGUGAGCAUGUCCGCCACGUGCGGAAAGCCUGAUGUUUGGCACUCACUCCCACCUGAACCUUUGGUUCAAGGGCAAUAACUGCGACGGUAUUCGCGGAAGGUGC
rnacentral:other from 1 species